rnacentral:rRNA from 1 species
UGAACGCUGGCGGCGUGCCUAACACAUGCAAGUCGAACGAAGCGUCCCGCCCGAAGAUGAGGAGUGCUUGCACAAAUCUGAUUCAAUUGGGAUGACUUAGUGGCGGACGGGUGAGUAACGCGUGGGUAACCUGCCUUAUACAGGGGGAUAACAGUUAGAAAUGACUGCUAAUACCGCAUAAGCGCACAGUAUCGCAUGAUACAGUGUGAAAAGCCGAGACGGUAUAAGAUGGACCCGCGUCUGAUUAGCCAGUUGGCAGGGUAACGGCCUACCAAAGCAACGAUCAGUAGCCGGCCUGAGAGGGUGAACGGCCACAUUGGGACUGAGACACGGCCCAAACUCCUACGGGAGGCAGCAGUGGGGGAUAUUGCACAAUGGGGGAAACCCUGAUGCAGCCGACGCCGCGUGAGUGAUGAAGUAUUUCGGUAUGUAAAACUCUAUCAGCAGGGAAGAAAAUGACGGUACCUGACUAAGAAGCUCCGGCUAAAUACGUGCCAGCCGCUGC